UGGUGAUACACCUGUGUGAGUCUCUUUCUUACCUGGGUUGGGCGUUUCGGCUGUCGGCGACGGUGAUCCGGCGUUGUGGUGGGCUGAUGCGAGUGCUGUCACAGCUGGUUAAUACCCCUAAACCUGCAGAGUCGCCGGUCGGCGUCCUGUAUGCACGCAACAUUGCUCUCGGUCCGUGUGAGCGAAUUGUUUGCUGUGCGGGCUGUCUCGAUCUGGCCUGUGGCUGAUUAUGUGUGUGCGCUGUGGAACCGUGGGGUGAUCUGCUGCCUCGGCGGGGGUUUGAACGGCGGCUCGGUCUGUCUUUUUCGUGCCUUGGCUUUGGGUGUCGCUCUCUCCCCCUGUGGGAUUGCCCUCUGCCGGGUCGGCCAGUUCCGGCUGUGUCUUGGCUCUAAGCGGGCUUGCCGGUUUUAGCAUCUCUUUGUUGGUUGGGUCUAGUUACUGUAUAUUUAGUUUAUACAGUUGGCAUUUUGUGGUGUGUUUUUCAUUUUGGUUGGUUUGAAUUAAUUGAUUUGCACGUUUUGAUUCAUUUUUGGUGUGUUUUGCUUUAUCCUUUUAGCCACUAUGUAUUUUAAAUAGUAUAUUGUAUAUUAAAUUAUUAGGCCCAUACUUUAAUUUUAUUCGGUAAUGGCAUGCCUUCUUAAUCGGUAUAUGUAGUUGGUACUUUUUGUUAAGUUACUUUUGGUUUGGUUGUUUCUAAUUAGUAUUUUGUUAAUAAAAUUAUUUGUUUAAAUGUGAAA